rnacentral:rRNA from 1 species
UACGUAGGGGGCAAGCGUUGUCCGGAUUUACUGGGCGUAAAGCGCGUGUAGGUGGGGGAGCGUGUCCGGUGGGAAAGCCCGCGGCUCAACCGCGGAAGUUCGCUGGAAACUGCUCUUCUUGAGGGUGAUAGAGGGAAGUGGAAUUGCUGGUGUAGCGGUGAAAUGCGUAGAUAUCAGCAGGAACACCCGUGGCGAAGGCGGCUUCCUGGAUCAACCCCUGACGCUGAGACGCGAAAGCGUGGGGAGCGAACGGG